UGAUCUCUUAAGAGAAUGAAGAGAGCAGC
rnacentral:piRNA from 1 species